UAGUACGGCGAGUGAAGCGGGAAGAGCUCAAAUUUGAAAUCUGGUGGCCUCAGGUCAUCCGAGUUGUAAUCUAUAGAAGUGUUUUCCGUGCUGGCUCAUGUACAAGUCCCUUGGAACAGGGCGUCAUAGAGGGUGAGAAUCCCGUCCUUGACAUGAACUACCAGUGCUCUGUGAUACAUUUUCAACGAGUCGAGUUGUUUGGGAAUGCAGCUCAAAAUGGGUGGUAAAUUCCAUCUAAAGCUAAAUAUUGGCGAGAGACCGAUAGCGAACAAGUACCGUGAGGGAAAGAUGAAAAGCACUUUGGAAAGAGAGUUAAACAGUAUGUGAAAUUGUUGAAAGGGAAACGAUUGAAGUCAGUCGUGCUCUUUGGAUUCAGCCGGUUCUGCCGGUGUACUUCCUUUGAGUGGGGUCAACAUCAGUUUUGAUCGCUGGAUAAAGGCUGGAGGAACGUAGUACCCUCGGGUAAACUUAUAGCCUCCUGUCACAUACAGUGGUUGGGACUGAGGAACGCAGCACGCCUUUAUGGCCGGGAUUCGUCCACGUACGUGCUUAGGAUGUUGACAUAAUGGCUUUAAACGACCCGUCUU
rnacentral:rRNA from 2 species